AGUGAACGCUGGCGGUAGGCCUAACACAUGCAAGUCGAACGGCAGCACAGUAAGAGCUUGCUCUUACGGGUGGCGAGUGGCGGACGGGUGAGGAAUACAUCGGAAUCUACUUUUUCGUGGGGGAUAACGUAGGGAAACUUACGCUAAUACCGCAUACGACCUACGGGUGAAAGCAGGGGAUCUUCGGACCUUGCGCGAUUGAAUGAGCCGAUGUCGGAUCAGCUAGUUGGCGGGGUAAAGGCCCACCAAGGCGACGAUCCGUAGCUGGUCUGAGAGGAUGAUCAGCCACACUGGAACUGAGACACGGUCCAGACUCCUACGGGAGGCAGCAGCGGGGAAUAUUGGACAAUGGGCGCAAGCCUGAUCCAGCCAUACCGCGUGGGUGAAGAAGGCCUUCGGGUUGUAAAGCCCUUUUGUUGGGAAAGAAAAGCAGCAGGUUAAUACCCCGCUGUUCUGACGGUACCCAAAGAAUAAGCACCGGCUAACUUCGUG
rnacentral:rRNA from 1 species